AGCAGCCGCGGUAAUUCCAGCUCCAAUAGCGUAUAUUAAAGUUGCUGCAGUUAAAAAGCUCGUAGUUGAAUUUCGGGACCAUCAUGUUGGUCGUGCCUCGGUACGUACUGGCAUUGUUGGUUUCUCCCUUCUGACGAACCAUGAUGUCAUUUAUUUGGUGUUGUGGGGAAUCAGGACUGUUACUUUGAAAAAAUUAGAGUGUUUAAAGCAGGCUCACGCUUGAAUACAUUAGCAUGGAAUAAUGAAAUAGGACGUUUGAUUCUAUUUUGUUGGUUUCUAGGAUCGACGUAAUGAUUAAUAGGGAUAGUUGGGGGCAUUAGUAUUCAAUUGUCAGAGGUGAAAUUCUUGGAUUUAUUGAAGACUAACUACUGCGAAAGCAUUUGCCAAGGAUGUUUUCAUUAAUCAAGAACGAAAGUUAGGGGAUCGAAGACGAUCAGAUACCGUCGUAGUCUUAACCAUAAACUAUGCCGACUAGGGAUCGGAUGAUGUUAAUUUUUUAAUGACUCA
rnacentral:rRNA from 1 species